UUAAAGCUUUGUCAGCUGCAGCGUUCGGAACCGUACGAUAAUUAUCGUACACAUACGAUAAUUUUGUGCCUACGUACGAUGUACGAUAGCAUAUUAUUAUCGUACGCAGAUUGUACGAUAAUUUCUAUCAUGAUGCAAAAUUUGAGAAUUUAUAUUGAUAGUCUAAAUCGCAGUAGCAUGAUUUUAUUUUGUCCAAUAAAAUCUUGGGAAAAUACCGGGAAAUACAAGUUCUCUAUUCCUAUUGAUCCUUACGAUCCGCUCUACUAAGUUUCACCACUGCCGAUACUGUAACUUUAUCCAGCGCCUGCUGUACACGCUUUCUUAUUGGUUAGUAUAGCAUCUACCAAUGCGAACAAGAGAAUAUAAGUUCGGUAUUUCGAUUAUGUUCACACUUCAUAUGUAUCGUAUAUUUUCGUGUAGAAAAGUUGGCAGUUAUUUCGUUAUAUUAUUAUGAUUAUAUGUCUGUAUUCGCUCUGACAAACGGAAUUAUUCAAAUUAAGUGAAGAAAGAAGUACUUGCAUGCAUAUCAAUAUUACAAUUUAUAUGAUUUAUUUAUCUUUAAAAGACAUUAUCCUAAAAAAUACGAUAAUUUCGAUCCAUGUACGAUAAUUUUUACUCCUCUGGUACGAUAGUCAGUCCACUUCAAGUUGUUAACGCUGGUCAGCUGUCACUUGCUUUGAAACCUGCCCACUGGUCAUAAAAUGGCGGCUACUUCUAGCGUUUGCACUUUGCGCAUGUAUGUAGCUCUCGUGUUCCAUUUUGCAUAUUUUUGGUAUUGAAAUCGAAGUGUAAGUGCGUCGAGUCGAGCCUUGUGUUCUACCGCCUUGCUGUUGCGAAUUCACUCCAAAAAUCUCCUUAUUCUGUGAAUUUCUACUUUUUGUGACAGAGACACUUUUGUUUGUGGAAUUUAUGAACUUUGGUGUAAUGCCGAGACUUAGACGUGCUUUCGGUUGUGCGCUCCGUGGUAAAGAUUCCAAUGCAUCAUUUCCCAGAUGCUGUCAAAUUCCUGAGCAUUUUAAAACUUGGGUCAGUCUUGUUGGUGGAAACCCUUAAACAUCUGAUUUUGAAUGUUAUAAGAAGAAGAGAAUUUGUGAUACACACUUUUCUGACAGACAGAAAUCGUAAUCAAUGGCUAAGCACAUUGGCAGUUCCGAAGCUUCAUCUGCUUGGAAAACUACAGAGUCAAGUAAUCUUAGGACAAGCUUCAUCUACACAACAUUUACUGCCUACAAUAAUACAGCAAGACUGGUCAGAGCCAUAUGUGAGCAACUUUAUUUUAGAAAAAGCAUGAACUUCAACAACAUUCCAACCUGUGGCUGCAGAUGCAUCUCAAGGUGCUUGAUGCUGGAACAUAAUAGUUUUAUUAGCAAGCCUAAAAGAACAGCUGGAAAAGAUCUAAUAGUUCCACAGCGCAAAAAGAUCAAGCAUCUUCAAGCAGAAAUAUCGCGCUUGCGAAAAAAAGGACAAUCUUUCAAAGCAAGGUUAAAAGGUGGUGCAGAUCGAUCAAUCGAAUUUUGUCAGGAAAAUUAACAUACCUAUGUGGGUGAAGACGAAACAAAAACAGCUGCCCAACAAUAUUAUGAUAAACAUAAACAUUAUAAAAAUAAAAAAUAAUAUACAAA